GACGAACGCUGGCGGCGUGCUUAACACAUGCAAGUCGAACGGAAAGGCCCCCAUCUUGGUGGGGGUGCUCGAGUGGCGAACGGGUGAGUAACACGUGGGUGAUCUGCCCUGUACUUCGGGAUAAGCUUGGGAAACUGGGUCUAAUACCGGAUAGGACCAUGGUUUAGUGUCUCAUGGUGGAAAGAUUAUUGUUUUGGUGCAGGAUGAGCUCGCGGCCUAUCAGCUUGUUGGUGGGGUAAUGGCCUACCAAGGCGUCGACGGGUAGCCGGCCUGCGAGGGUGGACGGCCACAUUGGGACUGAGAUACGGCCCAGACGCCUACGGGAGGCAGCAGUGGGGAAUAUUGCACAAUGGGCGCAAGCCUGAUGCAGCGACGCCGCGUGGGGGAUGACGGCCUUCGGGUUGUAAACUCCUUUCGUUAGGGACGAAGCCACGCUUGUUGGGUGUGGUGACGGUACCUUUGUUAAGAAGCACCGGCUAACUACGUG
rnacentral:rRNA from 1 species